rnacentral:tRNA from 1 species
GUCUCCUUCGUCUAGUGGUUAGGACACAGGGUUUUCAUCCCUGCAACACGGGUUCGACUCCCGUAGGAGAUG